UUGACCUCAAAUCGGGUGAGACUACCCGCUGAACUUAAGCAUAUCAAUAGCCGGAAGAA
rnacentral:rRNA from 1 species